UGGGGAAUAUUGCACAAUGGGCGCAAGCCUGAUGCAGCAACGCCGCGUGAACGAUGAAGGUCUUCGGAUCGUAAAGUUCUGUUGCAGGGGAAGAUAAUGACGGUACCCUGUGAGGAAGCCCCGGCUAACUACGUGCCAGCAACCGCGGUAAUACGUAGGGGGCUAGCGUUAUCCGGAUUUACUGGGCGUAAAGGGUGCGUAGGUGGUCUUUCAAGUCGGUGGUUAAAGGCUACGGCUCAACCGUAGUUAGCCUCCGAAACUGGAAGACUUGAGUGCAGGAGAGGAAAGUGGAAUUCCCAGUGUAGCGGUGAAAUGCGUAGAUAUUGGGAGGAACACCAGUAGCGAAGGCGGCUUUCUGGACUGCAACUGACACUGAGGCACGAAAGCGUGGGUAGCAAACAGG
rnacentral:rRNA from 1 species